UUAAUCGACGCAGGGUUAGUCGGUUCCUAAGGCGAGGCUGAAAAGCGUAGUCGAUGGGAAACAGGUUAAUAUUCCUGUACUUCUGGUUACUGCGAUGGAGGGACGGAGAAGGCUAGGCCAGCUUGGCGUUGGUUGUCCAAGUUUAAGGUGGUAGGCUGAAAUCUUAGGUAAAUCCGGGGUUUCAAGGCCGAGAGCUGAUGACGAGUCGUCUUUUAGAUGACGAAGUGGUUGAUGCCAUGCUUCCAAGAAAAGCUUCUAAGCUUCAGGUAACCAGGAACCGUACCCCAAACCGACACAGGUGGUCGGGUAGAGAAUACCAAGGCGCUUGAGAGAACUCGGGUGAAGGAACUAGGCAAAAUGGCACCGUAACUUCGGGAGAAGGUGCGCCGGCUAGGGUGAAGGAUUUACUCCGUAAGCUCUGGCUGGUCGAAGAUACCAGGCCGCUGCGACUGUUUAUUAAAAACACAGCACUCUGCAAACACGAAAGUGGACGUAUAGGGUGUGACGCCUGCCCGGUGCCGGAAGGUUAAUUGAUGGGGUUAGCGCAAGCGAAGCUCUUGAUCGAAGCCCCGGUAAACGGCGGCCGUAACUAUAACGGUCCUAAGGUAGCGAAAUUCCUUGUCGGGUAAGUUCCGACCUGCACGAAUGGCGUAACGAUGGCGGCGCUGUCUCCACCCGAGACUCAGUGAAAUUGAAAUCGCUGUGAAGAUGCAGUGUAUCCGCGGCUAGACGGAAAGACCCCGUGAACCUUUACUGUAGCUUUGCACUGGACUUUGAGCCUGCUUGUGUAGGAUAGGUGGGAGGCUUUGAAGCGUGGACGCCAGUUCGCGUGGAGCCAUCCUUGAAAUACCACCCUGGCAUGCUUGAGGUUCUAACUCUGGUCCGUAAUCCGGAUCGAGGACAGUGUAUGGUGGGCAGUUUGACUGGGGCGGUCUCCUCCUAAAGAGUAACGGAGGAGUACGAAGGUGCGCUCAGACCGGUCGGAAAUCGGUCGCAGAGUAUAAAGGCAAAAGCGCGCUUGACUGCGAGACAGACACGUCGAGCAGGUACGAAAGUAGGUCUUAGUGAUCCGGUGGUUCUGUAUGGAAGGGCCAUCGCUCAACGGAUAAAAGGUACUCCGGGGAUAACAGGCUGAUACCGCCCAAGAGUUCAUAUCGACGGCGGUGUUUGGCACCUCGAUGUCGGCUCAUCACAUCCUGGGGCUGAAGCCGGUCCCAAGGGUAUGGCUGUUCGCCAUUUAAAGUGGCACGCGAGCUGGGUUUAGAACGUCGUGAGACAGUUCGGUCCCUAUCUGCCGUGGACGUUUGAGAUUUGAGAGGGGCUGCUCCUAGUACGAGAGGACCGGAGUGGACGAACCUCUGGUGUUCCGGUUGUCACGCCAGUGGCAGUGCCGGGUAGCUAUGUUCGGAAAAGGUAACCGCUGAAAGCAUCUAAGCGGGAAACUUGCCUCAAGAUGAGAUCUCACUGGGAACUUGAUUCCCCUGAAGGGCCGUCGAGGACUACGACGUUGAUAGGCU
rnacentral:rRNA from 1 species